GUACACAAAAAUGCACAUGCUGUGAGCUCGAUGAGUAGGGCGGGACACGUGGUAUCCUGUCUGAAUAUGGGGGGACCAUCCUCCAAGGCUAAAUACUCCUGACUGACCGAUAGUGAACCAGUACCGUGAGGGAAAGGCGAAAAGAACCCCGGCGAGGGGAGUGAAAAAGAACCUGAAACCGUGUACGUACAAGCAGUGGGAGCACGCUUAGGCGUGUGACUGCGUACCUUUUGUAUAAUGGGUCAGCGACUUAUAUUCUGUAGCAAGGUUAACCGAAUAGGGGAGCCGAAGGGAAACCGAGUCUUAACUGGGCGUUAAGUUGCAGGGUAUAGACCCGAAACCCGGUGAUCUAGCCAUGGGCAGGUUGAAGGUUGGGUAACACUAACUGGAGGACCGAACCGACUAAUGUUGAAAAAUUAGCGGAUGACUUGUGGCUGGGGGUGAAAGGCCAAUCAAACCGGGAGAUAGCUGGUUCUCCCCGAAAGCUAUUUAGGUAGCGCCUCGUGAAUUCAUCUCCGGGGGUAGAGCACUGUUUCGGCAAGGGGGUCAUCCCGACUUACCAACCCGAUGCAAACUGCGAAUACCGGAGAAUGUUAUCACGGGAGACACACGGCGGGUGCUAACGUCCGUCGUGAAGAGGGAAACAACCCAGACCGCCAGCUAAGGUCCCAAAGUCAUGGUUAAGUGGGAAACGAUGUGGGAAGGCCCAGACAGCCAGGAUGUUGGCUUAGAAGCAGCCAUCAUUUAAAGAAAGCGUAAUAGCUCACUGGUCGAGUCGGCCUGCGCGGAAGAUGUAACGGGGCUAAACCAUGCACCGAAGCUGCGGCAGCGACGCUGAUGCGUUGUUGGGUAGGGGAGCGUUCUGUAAGCCUGUGAAGGUGUACUGUGAGGUAUGCUGGAGGUAUCAGAAGUGCGAAUGCUGACAUAAGUAACGAUAAAGCGGGUGAAAAGCCCGCUCGCCGGAAGACCAAGGGUUCCUGUCCAACGUUAAUCGGGGCAGGGUGAGUCGACCCCUAAGGCGAGGCCGAAAGGCGUAGUCGAUGGGAAACAGGUUAAUAUUCCUGUACUUGGUGUUACUGCGAAGGGGGGACGGAGAAGGCUAUGUUGGCCGGGCGACGGUUGUCCCGGUUUAAGCGUGUAGGCUGGUUUUCCAGGCAAAUCCGGAAAAUCAAGGCUGAGGCGUGAUGACGAGGCACUACGGUGCUGAAGCAACA
rnacentral:rRNA from 1 species